rnacentral:SRP_RNA from 1 species
GGGUAAGUCCUGUACGGUCUGCUCCCAUCUAAUCCCCCAGGGCUUGACAGCAGCAAGGGUAAAUGGUUGUAGCGACGCGAUACAGUAAGCUUACCCUUU